AGUCCGGGACGAUUAGAGUUUGAUCCUGGCUCAGAUUGAACGCUGGCGGCAGGCCUAACACAUGCAAGUCGAGCGGCAGCACGGGAAGCUUGCUUCCUGGUGGCGAGCGGCGGACGGGUGAGUAAUGCAUAGAAAUCUGCCCGGUAGUGGGGGAUAACCUGGGGAAACCCAGGCUAAUACCGCAUACGUCCUACGGGAGAAAGCAGGGGAUCUUCGGACCUUGCGCUAUCGGAUGAGUCUAUGUCGGAUUAGCUUGUUGGUGAGGUAAUGGCUCACCAAGGCGACGAUCCGUAGCUGGUCUGAGAGGAUGAUCAGCCACAUCGGGACUGAGACACGGCCCGAACUCCUACGGGAGGCAGCAGUGGGGAAUAUUGGACAAUGGGCGAAAGCCUGAUCCAGCCAUGCCGCGUGUGUGAAGAAGGCCUUCGGGUUGUAAAGCACUUUCAGUGGGGAAGAAAGCCUUGGGGCUAAUACCCUCGAGGAAGGACAUCACCCACAGAAGAAGCACCGGCUAACUCCGUGCCAGCAGCCGCGGUAAUACGGAGGGUGCGAGCGUUAAUCGGAAUUACUGGGCGUAAAGCGCGCGUAGGCGGUCUGAUAAGCCGGUUGUGAAAGCCCCGGGCUCAACCUGGGAACGGCAUCCGGAACUGUCAGGCUAGAGUGCAGGAGAGGAAGGUAGAAUUCCCGGUGUAGCGGUGAAAUGCGUAGAGAUCGGGAGGAAUACCAGUGGCGAAGGCGGCCUUCUGGACUGACACUGACGCUGAGGUGCGAAAGCGUGGGUAGCAAACAGGAUUAGAUACCCUGGUAGUCCACGCCGUAAACGAUGUCGACUAGCCGUUGGGCUCCUUGAGAGCUUUGUGGCGCAGUUAACGCGAUAAGUCGACCGCCUGGGGGAGUACGGCCGCAAGGUUAAAACUCAAAUGAAUUUGACGGGGGGCCCGCACAAGCGGUGGAGCAUGUGGUUUAAUUCGAUGCAACGCGAAGACCCUUACCUACCCUUGACAUCGUGCGAACUUUCCAGAGAAUGGAUUGGUGCCUUCGGGAGCGCACAGACAGUGCUGCAUGCCUGUCGUCAGCUCGUGUUGUGAAAUGUUGGGUUAGUCCCGUACGAGCGCCAACCUUGUUCCUUAUUUGCAGCGCGUAUGGCGGACUCUAGGAAACUGCGGUGACAACGAAGAAGUUGGGACAACGCUCAAGUCACAUGCCUUACGGUAAGGCCUACACACGUCUACAUUGUCCGGGUUACAAGGGUGUGGCAAGUUC
rnacentral:rRNA from 1 species